CUUUUUUCUCCAUUUCCCCCGCCCGAGGGCGGCCCGUGGCAAAACGCCCCACAGAGACAUAGGAGUUUUGAGACACAGCUCUCAGCGCCUGGGCCGGAGCGAGUACCUCGGCAGUGCGAGUCCAGCCCGGGAUACAGCUACAGAACUAAUAUUGCUGAAUAUGACUUUCUUUGGGCCUGGUCCUGUGAAUUUAGGUAAGAAACCCCAUUCUGAAUGGUAAGUGCUAUUUCAUGCAGGAUGCUUGCAAGACAGAGACCAUAGUCUUCUGUAAACAGCAAAAUAAAUAAAGGUUGUUGGAGAGUACUUGCUUUUUCUGGAAAUCAAUGCAUUCCUCUUUUGCUAUAUUGUUCUAUAUGACUUUCACACUUAUUUAACUCUUAUUUAAAUCAAAUAUUUAUUUUCUUAUUUACAAGCAGCUCUGUAAGGGGUAACAUAUCCUGUGUAAGAAAAGAGGUAUCAAUGUAUUUUCCCCAGAACCAUAGUUUUUAGCACCCUUUUUUACUCAGACUUUCACUAUAGUUCAAUGCAACAUUUCUAGCCUGUGCUGCAAUUGAGGGGAGUUUGUGUGAGCAUACUCAAAUUAGCUUUAACUAAGGUAUAUUGGGCAAAAGAAGCAAAGAUAGAGCAGUGCAACGGGGUAGCUAUCCAGUAUUUAGAAUCUCUAGAUACACAGUUUGUGUUAAAGCCUAUUAUUUGUAAAUCCAUAUAGUUAGGCUGGUCAAUCUAGGAGGCAAACAUGACUGGAAACUGAAGCCUCACUAUCAAACGUUGUUUGUACACCACUUAUAUACCUUUUGCAAGAUCACAAAUAUUGUUUUGGUUGCGUAUAAGUUCUCAUUUGUGGCAAUUAGCUAGCACGUCUGUAAGCAGAAAAAGUACCUAAAACAAUCUCUCUUCCUGCCUGUAAAAAUAAGUACAAAAUAAGCUCCAUGUUUUUCAGUUCCAGUAUUAUGUCUCAUGGCUUUUACUAUAAUUAUCUAAUGAACUUCACCUUCUAAAAUGCUAGCUUUAGAAAUGUUUUCACCUCAUACAAUUUUAUUAGAAUCAAUUCCAAUUACUAUUUUUAACAUUUGAUGGUAUCAAAUAUCGAGGCUACAGUGACAUCUUGUGGAAUUUUUAACUAUAGGUGAAGAAGCAAUUUUCUUGUCUCAUUGCAUCGUUUUAAGAGUUCAUCCUGAUUUUUUCAACAAGGACUUUUAAAAUAUAUCUUUUAGAUACCAUUUCAAAAAUACUGUGUUGCAUAAACAUUGAUCACCACCUUUGAAUGUUCUGUAGAAAUUAAUCUGUUUAGACUCCAAAAUAUUUCCAAAUGACAUCUAGAAAAAUCUUGUAGAAGAAAUCAUGACUUGGAUAUUAUUUUGUUAUAAAAUAAAUUCUCAGUAAUACAUUUCAUUAAAGAACUUCCAGGCACUUUUUUAACCAUCAAGGGAUAAAAAGUUACCAGCUUUUAAAAAAAAAAAAAUCAACAAACAAACCCCUUUUGUUUCCUAAACACAAUGAUUUAUGGCUAGAGCUGAAGUCUUUGACUUUUCUUUGCUAUCUAAGCCUAACUCCUUAAGGCUGUGGUUUUUCAUGGCCCUUUUUCCUCAUGAGUGGACCUUACAUAAAUUAAGUGAAUGUGCCAACAAGUACACAUUUAAAAAAAAAAAGAAAAGAAAUCUUGGUGCUACUCAUCUGUGUGCAAACUGUGAGUUUAAUUUAGACAUCUAACACUGAAAAACUUGUUCAAUAAUCUGAAAAUAAAUCCAUCACAAAUCUGUUUUAUGUAUUUAUUUGACAAUGGUACAAAUUAAAUUUACCAGUAUAAUAAAAGCUUGUUCUAUUAAUUCUUUCACUGAUACAGAAGAUCAAAAAAACAACCAACCCAGAACAACUCCUUCACCCGACAAAGAACCCAAUACUAAGAUUUGGCUGAGUUGACAGUUCAUUUCACAUUUUAAAAGUAAGGUAAACAACAUCUGUAAGUUCCCACAAUUGUAGUUGAUACUGCACAGAAGCUACAGAAGACCAGUAAAGUAAAUAAAAUGCAGUAAACUACCACUAGGAAAGCUGCAUUUCUGGAGAGAUCAUAGACCUGUUUGUAUACUACUUACCACUACAGCACGAUAAUUAAAAGCUGCUUUUCAUUAUUACAACAAAAUUAAGCAGACUUUACAUUGCCGUUUUAAGAUUUUGCCCUUUAAAUCGUUCAAAAGUACUAGGAAGACUUCACUGAACAGAAGCCAAAUCCUUUAACACUGAUAGAACAAGGCAAAGGAAUCCUCCAUUUCCCGAAAGAAACCCAAAGACUCACACCCAGAAUCAGCCCUGCUGUAAGGAACGUGUCACAUUUUCAACCACUUUUUGGUCAGCUAACUUAUUACAAAAAAUUAUAGAAUUAUACACCAUUUGUGCAGAUGCUAUUUGUGUACUAGGAAUAAGCUAAUUUUGAUAGCCCAUCAAUACCUUUGAACUGAUACUAAGAAUCAAUUAAAAGCUGAUGCAGGUGAAACUAAAUCUACUCUGGAUGCCCGAUUCGAUUACUCACUGUGAUACAGGAAAAUCAUUGGGUUUUGUUCUUUCCUCCACACCAGAAAAAAGAUCUGUAACUGCAAUGGAAAAGGUUUGUCCUGUUUAUGUUAACACAGUGUCUCCAGAAAUACAGAGUUCCAAUCUAACAAAAGCUGUUAGUAACAGCUCUGUUUCUUGCUAUGAACGAAGCCAGGGAAUUCAGAGGCUGAUAACAGUCCAGCCCUGUCAAAUAUCACUGUACCUUAAAAUACUUUUUUGUAUUAAUGCUUUACCCAUUCAUUACACAUUUUAAUUCUGUUGUCAUAGCCACCAAAAACAAAGAUGAAAGGAACCAAGAGUAAAAUAAAUAUUCAUUUGAAAGAGUAGCUAAAAAAACCCAGUAGACCUGUAAUAUUACAAAAUGCACCAUGUAGUAAAUGUAGAACAACUUGCUCUUAUUAGGAACUGUAAGUAAGACAUUUUUUAAAAGUGAGGAUUUUCUUAGGCACAUUUUUGUAACAAUGCCCAUGCAAAUAAUGAAACAAAAAUAAGUACUAAGUAGAGUAUUAAUAAGUAAUAUCCCAUCCAUUUCUUCUGGGUGCUUAUAUAACUUUUCUAUUUCAUGAAUUCAUGUUUCUUACAUUUCCAAAUGCUAGGUUUUACCUUUCAGCUGCUUGCAGUGUUUCAGCAACUCUAGACAAAUUAAUAACAGGAAAAAAAGCCACAUCAGAGAUCAUUUAUUACUAUCUCAGCAGUAGUAGAUGUUGUAGGCAAUGGUUUUAGGUCUAUCUGAGACUAAGGUGAGGUACUUUCUUCUGGCUUGCCUUCCUAGCAGCUUUAGGAACAUCUCAAUACAGAAUAACUUAUAUACAAACUUCAGAGGGGUUUUGUACAGGAGUGUAGAAGCCUGGCCAACACUUCACUGUAGCCCUUCUGUAGUUGCACUGGGAACUGGGCAGGAGGAAUUGAGGAGGGGGAAGGCAGGGAAGCAUCUCAACAUGUCACUAUCAAAAAUAUGCCUAGACCUCAUUUGACUAGUGACAUAUAAUUAAAAAGAAAAAAAAAAGAGAAAACACAAUGUUCCCCCUUCCCCCCCCCCCAAAAAAAAACACACCCAA